rnacentral:RNase_P_RNA from 1 species
AUGGCCGGAGGGUCCGUCGCGCGACUUAUAUAUAAAGGUCGUGAGGAAAGUCCGGGCAACGCAGAGCACCAUAUUUGCUAACGGCAAGCUAUCGGUAACGGUAGAGUAAUGUGACAGAAAAUUACCGCCUCCACUCCGGUGGAGGUAAGGGUGAAAAGGUGAGGUAAGAGCUCACCGGGCGCUAUGGCGACAUAGUGUGCCGCACAUCUUAUGGGUUGCAAGGUCAAGUAUACCGGCAUUCAAGGGUUGCUCGCCCAUUGCCGGGGGGUAGACUGCGCAAAGGGGGCUCAGGCCCUUAGAUAAAUGACGGACGGAAGCCGACAACUCCCCCUCAGCGGGGAAAGUGCCGGUCCACAUAACCCGGCUUAUACUCCGACCAUACUU